rnacentral:misc_RNA from 1 species
AAACAAAUGCUUAUUUAAAAAAAGAAAGAAAAUUGAGUUGUUAAAGUUAAACAAUAAAUUACUUGAAAGAAUAAUUUAGAUAGCGUGCAUCCUUGAGAUCAAACUUGUCGGUUCAACCACUAGAGUCAAUUCUAAAACGGUUUUUCAACCGUAGUGCUUAUGAUUGUACAUUCGCGGUAUUGGGGCUUCGAAUGAAGUCAUACGUUAACUUAAACUGAAAACCGAUGUAUUUUAUAAAUUGCUCUACCCGAUUUGGAAUGUUGAAAAGCUGCAUUUUUCCCCGAUUUCACUGAACUCCAGGGAUUUCAGGACGUACGACAAGCGUAAAACUUUCUUUUUCUCUUUCAAAAUCCGGGAGGGAAAUGGAUUUCGAGGAUUUAUGUUUAGACGUUAUAAAAAGCGUCCAAGAGAGGCAGACAACAAUAAAGGAACAGAAAUUGGCACGGGAGAAACUCAACAAAGAGGAAGAAAAGUUCGCCCAAGAAAAAUGGGAACAAUGCCUGUCAGAUUUAACUGAUCAGAGAAGAGAAAAAGAAGAAGAAUUGCAGAAAGUUGUGGUGAUGAAAAAAAACGAUGAAGACCUUCAGAAGCAAAUUCAAUCACUUCAAGAAGAAAUUGAAAAGGCUUAAGGCAUUUAAAAAGCUCACAUGUGUUUACUGGGACUACACAUUUUGCGAUCAUAAAACCCUUUGUGGGUAUAUUUAUAAUAAAAAGUGCAAUAAGGCCAAGGCUUUUAAAGUAAAUUUGCUUAACAAGGAGAAGAAAGAGAUCGCACAUGAACUAUGGUCAUUUAUUUAUGUUUGUAUAUA